CUUCUUCCCAAACACAAGCCUUGCACCCGGGGAUGCAGCAGCUGCAGUGAUGGGCACAGGCAGAACUCGGACACCCAGCCCAGCCUUACCUCAGGAAGAAAGGAGCAGCAUCAGCCACAUCCCAUCCAGACCCAUCUGCACUGCAACUGGCUGCAACCUUCCCUGAGCUCCUUUGGCAGGCCUUCAGCAAGGUCUCUCCUCACUGAAGCUCUUGAAUGUGCCAGAGAGACACUUCCCUGCACAAAGUCUGGAAAAGACAAAUUCAGCCAACAGGAAAUCUACCUUAUCAAAGCUGUGUUUCCAAUCCCACUGGGCAUUAGGACAGUUGGAUUCCAGCAAUCUCCGGGCCGGCUUUGGAAGAAAAAGCACAGAAACCCCACAGCAUUUUGGCCUCAUAAAACUUUAUUUUCAUCACUACUACAGGAACCUAAAAUGCACAUGAGAUACAUUUGGCAGAAGAAAUGUGGCUUAAUAAAUAAAUAUUUCUCUGGUUAAACAUUAUCUGGUUGAAUUGAAUCACUUCAGAUCCUACACAGCUCUUCUCAUCUGCACUAUAUACUUAACUGUUAUUAAAGCUGUCUGAAAUGCAGUGCUAGAAAUGGCAACUGCUGGGUGUGAAUUCCCUCAGCAGUAAUACUUCCAGGUCUCCAGGCAGUAACACAACAUGCCUGGGAAAGGUGCUUUUAAAAGGCCAUUUAUCUAGGGUGAGCCCUGGAGUUUUCAGAGCUGCUGAAGCAGGGAGGACACUUGUAUGCAAAUGCCAGAAGAGUGGGGAGAUCUACUUAGCAGGAGCAUGAGGAUAAAUCCACUCUCCUCUGUUCUCAGGGAAGAGGAAACAGCAAAAGCACUUAAAGCUCUUCAGUGUAAAUCAUCUGGCUAGGCAGGAGUGAACAGUAUUCAGUGUCUGCAGGGGAAGGUGCUGCCUUGUGUCCUGGGUGGUCACUGUCAGCAGCUCUGCCACUGCUUGUUCAACCCCUCGUGCUGCUGGUUCACGUUCUUUCCUGCUCUUCCUCGGGUUCCUCUUGCCUUCAUUCCCCAUGUCUGGAAGAGCAGAGGGGGAUUUAAACUCCAUUUAAUGAAAUUGGGCCUAUGAACCACAGCUGGACAGCUGUGUGCUCCCUUACCUCAGAAAAGAAACAGCUUGAUAC
rnacentral:lncRNA from 1 species